GAAAUGCGAUAAGUAGUGUGAAUUGCAGAAUUCAGUGAAUCAUCGAAUCUUUGAACGCACAUUGCGCCCUUUGGUAUUCCUUAGGGCAUGCCUGUUCGAGUGUCAUCUAAACCUUCAAGCCCUGCUUGGUGUUGGGUGCCUGUCCCGCCUCCGCGCGCGGACUCACCUCAAAUCCAUUGGCGGCCCCCGCGUCGGCCACGAGCGCAGCAGAAACGCGAACUCGUGAGCCCGUCCGGGCGGAUCCCAGAAGCUACACCCACCCAGUUUGACCUCGGAUCAGGUAGGGAUACCCGCUGAACUUAAGC
rnacentral:misc_RNA from 1 species